AUUGAACGCUGGCGGCAUGCCUUACACAUGCAAGUCGAACGGCAGCGGGCCUUCGGGUGCCGGCGAGUGGCGAACGGGUGAGUAAUGCAUCGGAACGUGCCAUUGAGUGGGGGAUAACGUAGCGAAAGUUGCGCUAAUACCGCAUAUUCUGUGAGCAGGAAAGCAGGGGACCGCAAGGCCUUGCGCUCUUUGAGCGGCCGAUGUCAGAUUAGCUAGUUGGUGAGGUAAAGGCUUACCAAGGCGACGAUCUGUAGCGGGUCUGAGAGGAUGAUCCGCCACACUGGAACUGAGACACGGUCCAGACUCCUACGGGAGGCAGCAGUGGGGAAUUUUGGACAAUGGGGGCAACCCUGAUCCAGCCAUGCCGCGUGAGUGAAGAAGGCCUUAUGGGUUGUAAAGCUCUUUCAGUGGGGAAGAUAAUGACUGUACCCACAGAAGAAGCCCCGGACUAACUCCGUGCCAGCAGCCGCGGUAAU
rnacentral:rRNA from 1 species